GCUGAUGUGGCGAAAUGGUAGACGCAUUUGACUCAAAAUCAAACGAGGUAAAACUCAUGUCGGUUCGAAUCCGACUAUCAGUA
rnacentral:tRNA from 1 species